GACGAACGCUGGCGGCGUGCUUAACACAUGCAAGUCGAGCGGUAAGGCCCUUUCGGGGGUACGACGAGCGGCGAACGGGUAGAGUAACACGUGGGUGACCUGCCUUUAGCUCUGGGAUAAGCCUGGGAAACUGGGUCUAAUACCGGAUAUGACCCUAUGGCGCAUGUUGUGGGGUGGAAAGCCUUGUGCGGCUAGGGAUGGGCCCGCGGCCUAUCAGCUUGUUGGUGGGGUGAUGG
rnacentral:rRNA from 1 species